UACGGAGGGUGCAAGCGUUAUCCGGAUUCACUGGGUUUAAAGGGUGCGUAGGCGGGCAGGUAAGUCAGUGGUGAAAUCUCCGGGCUUAACCCGGAAACUGCCGUUGAUACUAUCUGUCUUGAAUAUCGUGGAGGUAAGCGGAAUAUGUCAUGUAGCGGUGAAAUGCUUAGAUAUGACAUAGAACACCCAUUGCGAAGGCAGCUUACUACACGAUCAUUGACGCUGAGGCACGAAGGCGUGGGGAGCAAACAGG
rnacentral:rRNA from 1 species